AUUGAACGCUGGCGGCACGCCUUACACAUGCAAGUCGAACGGCAGCGGACCUUCGGGUGCCGGCGAGUGGCGAACGGGUGAGUAAUAUAUCGGAACGUACCUUUCAGUGGGGGAUAACGUAGCGAAAGUUACGCUAAUACCGCAUAUUCUGUGAGCAGGAAAGCAGGGGAUCGCAAGACCUUGCGCUGAUUGAGCGGCCGAUAUCAGAUUAGCUAGUUGGUGAGGUAAAGGCUCACCAAGGCGACGAUCUGUAGCGGGUCUGAGAGGAUGAUCCGCCACACUGGAACUGAGACACGGUCCAGACUCCUACGGGAGGCAGCAGUGGGGAAUUUUGGACAAUGGGCGCAAGCCUGAUCCAGCCAUGCCGCGUGAGUGAAGAAGGCCU
rnacentral:rRNA from 1 species